rnacentral:rRNA from 1 species
GCCCAUAAAGCUUAAGAGUUACUCAAUUAGGGCACAGCCUAUUUGAGACAGAAUACAAUCUAGACAGCAGGGUAAAACUUCUAUUGUUAUUAUACACAGUAGGCCUAAAAGCAGCCACCUAUAAAAAAGCGUUAAAGCUUAAUAUAAUUUUUCCUUAAUCCCACUAAAAAUCGUGAACCCUCCCCCAGUACUGAAUGACCCCAUAAAUUUAUGGGAGACAAAAUGCUAGGACUAGUAACAAGAAUAUAAAAUUCUCCAAAAUGUAAGUUUAAGUCAGAACGGAUGAACCACUGACCAUUAACGGAAAUGAGCCUACUGUAGUAACCUAACAAGAAAAUUCUGCACUUCUCCCCGUUAACCUCACACCAGAUCAUUUAUGGAAAGAUUAAUAGAUAAAGAAGGAACUCGGCAAACUAUAAUCCCGCCUGUUUACCAAAAACAUCGCCUCUUGUUCAUCAUAAGAGGUCCAGCCUGCCCAGUGAUAAAAUUUAACGGCCGCGGUAACCUAACCGUGCGAAGGUAGCAUAAUCACUUGUCCUUUAAAUAGGGGCUUGUAUCAACGGCACCACGAGGGUUAUACUGUCUCCUUUCUCUAAUCAGUGAAACUGAUCUCCCCGUGAAGAAGCGGGGAUAAAACUAUAAGACGAGAAGACCCCAUGGAGCUUUAAAUUAGCAGCAACUCAAUCAUCUACCCCCUUAUAAAAUAGAGCUAUGCAUGCGACUUUUAGGUUGGGGCGACCGCGGAGUAUAAAAUAACCCCCACGACGAAAAGAGCUAAAUCUUUAUCCCAGAGUUUCCCCUCAAAGAAUUAGUACCCUAACGAACAAUGACCCGAUCAUCGAUCAACGAACCAAGUUACCCUGGGGAUAACAGCGCAAUCUACUUCAAGAGCCCCUAUCGACGAGUAGGCUUACGACCUCGAUGUUGGAUCAGGGUAACCCUAAUGG